rnacentral:lncRNA from 1 species
UUCCCCCCUUUUUUUUCUUCUUUGAAUAGCCGGCUGAGGCUCCUCUGUUUUUUUCGAAUGGACUCCCCCCUCCUCUGUUUUCCAAUGGGAAGAAUGAGCCCCCCAGCCCUAACCGAGAGAGCCUCAUAUAGUUCACAAACUCUAGGGCCAGCGAUGUUCCCUGAUCUCUCGCGGUGGAGAUCAACGGGUGGAUGCUGAUGCCGAAGGAUGAAGACUCUUGGAUGGCUGAGAUGAAACUAAGAUGCAGACGGGAGUUGAUCGCCGAUGCUGAAAUCACGGGAUGCCGGAAUCACGGACUCGGUUAGGGUGCGUGGGAGCUGAACCGAUGAUGGCUCGCGGAAGAAGCUCCACGGAUGAUGGAUCGCAGGCGGAAGAUGAAGUGCGGACGCAGAAACUUAGCUGGGAUGCGGGAUCUUCGAACGCGGACGGCUGCAGGAUGUUGGGAGGUUGGGUAGCGAACGGAUGAGCUUGAGAUGGAGCUGGGACACGGAGAUUGCGAGGAAGACGGAAGGCUGGGAGCUGAU